GAUGAACGCUGGCGGCGUGCCUAAUACAUGCAAGUCGAGCGAACAGAUAAGGAGCUUGCUCCUUUGACGUUAGCGGCGGACGGGUGAGUAACACGUGGGUAACCUACCUAUAAGACUGGAAUAACUCCGGGAAACCGGGGCUAAUGCCGGAUAACAUUUAGAACCGCAUGGUUCUAAAGUGAAAGAUGGUUUUGCUAUCACUUAUAGAUGGACCCGCGCCGUACUAGCUAGUUGGUAAGGUAAUGGCUUACCAAGGCAACGAUACGUAGCCGACCUGAGAGGGUGAUCGGCCACACUGGAACUGAGACACGGUCCAGACUCCUACGGGAGGCAGCAGUAGGGAAUCUUCCGCAAUGGGCGAAAGCCUGACGGAGCAACGCCGCGUGAGUGAUGAAGGGUUUCGGCUCGUAAAACUCUGUUAUUAGGGAAGUACAAACGUGUAAGUAACUGUGCACGUCUUGACGGUACCUAAUCAGAAAGCCACGGCUAACUACGUGCCAGCCGCUGCAGUAA
rnacentral:rRNA from 1 species